CUUGGUCAUUUAGAGGAAGUAAAAGUCGUAACAAGGUCUCCGUUGGUGAACCAGCGGAGGGAUCAUUACUGAGUGUAAAAACUCCCAAACCCCUGUGAACAUACCUUAAUGUUGCCUCGGCGGAUCAGCCCGCGCCCCGUAAAACGGGACGGCCCGCCAGAGGACCCAAACUCUAAUGUUUCUUAUUGUAACUUCUGAGUAAAACAAACAAAUAAAUCAAAACUUUCAACAACGGAUCUCUUGGUUCUGGCAUCGAUGAAGAACGCAGCAAAAUGCGAUAAGUAAUGUGAAUUGCAGAAUUCAGUGAAUCAUCGAAUCUUUGAACGCACAUUGCGCCCGCUGGUAUUCCGGCGGGCAUGCCUGUUCGAGCGUCAUUUCAACCCUCAAGCCCCCGGGUUUGGUGUUGGGGAUCGGCUCUGCCUUCUGGCGGUGCCGCCCCCGAAAUACAUUGGCGGUCUCGCUGCAGCCUCCAUUGCGUAGUAGCUAACACCUCGCAACUGGAACGCGGCGCGGCCAUGCCGUAAAACCCCAACUUCUGAAUGUUGACCUCGGAUCAGGUAGGAAUACCCGCUGAACUUAAGCAUAUCAAUAAGCGGAGGA
rnacentral:rRNA from 1 species